rnacentral:tRNA from 1 species
AAGGUUACAUAAUAGAGCUGCUAACUCUGUAAUAAUGCUAGCAUUUAACCUUU